AGAUUGAACGCUGGCGGCAUGCCUUACACAUGCAAGUCGAACGGCAGCACGGACUUCGGUCUGGUGGCGAGUGGCGAACGGGUGAGUAAUGUAUCGGAACGUACCUUUCAGUGGGGGAUAACGUAGCGAAAGUUACGCUAAUACCGCAUAUUCUGUGAGCAGGAAAGCAGGGGAUCGCAAGACCUUGCGCUGAUUGAGCGGCCGAUAUCAGAUUAGCUAGUUGGUGGGUAAAGGCCUACCAAGGCUACGAUCUGUANCGGGUCUGAGAGGAUGAUCCGCCACACUGGAACUGAGACACGGUCCAGACUCCUACGGGAGGCAGCAGUGGGGAAUUUUGGACAAUGGGGGCAACCCUGAUCCAGCCAUGCCGCGUGAGUGAAGAAGGCCUUCGGGUUGUAAAGCUCUUUCGGCCGGGAAGAAAUCGCAUAGGCUAAUACCCUGUGUGGAUGACGGUACCGGAAUAAGAAGCACCGGCUAACUACGUG
rnacentral:rRNA from 1 species